GACUCCGUCUCAAAAAAAAAAAAAAAAAAAAAAAGGAACUACAGGGAGACAGGGUCUCACUGUGUUGCCUAGGCCGGUCUUGAACUCCUGGGCUCAAGUGAUUCUCCCACCUUGACCUCCUAAAUUGUUGGGAUUACAGGUGUGAGACAGUGCACCUGGCCGAAAUAGCUCAAGUUUCUGAAAAACAAAUCUGAAUCUAUUUGUUAUUCUUAGCGUCACUGGUCUGGCUUUCAGAAUUAACAUACAAGGUUGCCACACCUAGUUCUGCCCAGCUUUAUGUCUUUUAUUCCAGUAUUCCACCAAAGUUUGUUUUCCUGCAUUCCAGUUCUCAAGUCUUAAGAUAAAGAUUGUACUUGACAGUUUAGUAUAUCCAUAAAACUAUUUGAGGUGGUUAAGGUUCUUGGGUUCAUUUUCCUUAAUACUUUGCUGAAUAUUGUAGAUUGUAGGCAAUGAAAAAGUCUACUAAAUUAGGAAAACCUUGAAUAAUUAGGUAUCCUAGGUAAGAGCCCCUAAACAUCAAGCAAUCUGUGAGUCUGUAAAGAAAUAAAUAUUUUUUGGAUUAUUCUUAUCUAAUUCCACCCCUGUUGGAAGAUGAUUUCUUUGUUCUUUGCAACUAUGGAAGCUGUGAAAAUCAUCACAAGUGCCUCUGAAAGCGAGUGUUAGGUUGGUUAGAGGGUUUAAUAUUUUCUGCAAUGGUUUGUAGGAAUUUUAAUAAAUGUAGUAUAUUUUCUGAGAUGAUUUUGUAAAAGUACUAUUUUAAAUAUCAAAUCAACCAAUAAAUUCACAUUUGUGUUAGGAACAGAAAUAUGGUUUAUAUCUUUG
rnacentral:lncRNA from 1 species